rnacentral:misc_RNA from 1 species
GAUGAAGAACGCAGCGAAAUGCGAUAAGUAAUGUGAAUUGCAGAAUUCAGUGAACCAUCGAAUCUUUGAACGCACAUUGCGCCCGCCAGCACUCUGGCGGGCAUGCCUGUUCGAGCGUCAUUUCAACCCUCAGGCCCCCCCGGGGGCCUGGUGUUGGGGGCCGGCCCCGGCCGCCCCCGAAAUGCAGUGGCGACCUCGCCGCGGCCUCCCCUGCGUAGUAGCACACACCUCGCACCGGAGCGCGGAGACGGUCACGCCGUGAAACGCCCCAACUCAAGAGUUGACCUCGGAUCAGGUAGGAAUACCCGCUGAACUUAAGCAUAUCAAUAAGCGGAGGA